rnacentral:tRNA from 1 species
GGGGGCUUAGGUUAAAACUAAACCGAGGGCCUUCAAAGCCCAAAACGCGCGCCAACCCGCACAGCCUCUGAC